CUGCCAAGAAUAGUAUGUUGCUAACAGUCCAAACAAAAAUGAUAUCAUUGAGGCCUUGAAGUUCUAUAUAUGCUUGGCAGUCAUAUUUUGAAUUAUCUUACCUAGAGAACAGCCUGACACAAAACACCUAUAGAGUUGAACCAGAGGCCAGGGCCUUCAAGACAACAGUCUAUUGGAGCUUCGACUGAGCCGAUGGAGGACACGUCUGUUGUCGACGAUGAAGCUAUGGCGGAUGUUGUUUCGGUAACAGGCCUGCUCAUGAUGCUAUUCAAGAAUAGUGUUUUAAUUAAGCGAGGAAGAUGACUCUAUGGAAACAAUACCCAAAAUUCUCAAGUAUAAUUGUGAAAUUAAAGAAGCAAAUGGGAUUCUUGAUGAGUCAUUUGCUGUAAAUGUUGAAGAAAGAAGCAAGUUUAAUAUGCUUUUAAGGUACUAAAAAUGGGCAACAAACUGAAGUAUUAGUUGUUUUUUAAUAGACACCUUGGGAUUCUGGGGAACUAUUUUGUUAUGUAGAUACAAAAGCCUAUUAUUAUGAGAUGUAAUAUUCAUUCAGAGUUUGUUGGAUUUUCUUUGUAUAUGAUGAAUUUGACUUGAUUUGGUUGGAUAUUGUGGAUAAA